UUUGAUUGUUUCUUUUGGUUUGGUGAUAAGCAACUAUAUAUACUAUUACACUAUCGAUAGUACCAAAUACUUGGUGUGAUUAGAUUUUUGAUCCUUGGAUGAAGAGAUAUGCGGUUAGAAUGAUAGUGGUGCUCUAGAGUUCAGUGGAUAGUUGAUUGAAUAGUAUAAUCGAACGGAUGAAAAUGGUCAAAAAAGUAAAUCUAAAUACGAAAAACUCAACAAUACAAAACGUUUGACACUGUCUAUAAUAUAGUAGCCGGACUAUAUAAAGUAAAUAAGAACUAUGU
rnacentral:lncRNA from 1 species